UACAGAGACUGCGAGCGUUAUUCGGAUUCACUGGGCGUAAAGGGUGCGCAGGCGGCCAAGUGUGUUAGGCGUGAAAGCCCGGGGCUUAACCUCGGAAUUGCACCUAAAACUACUUGGCUAGAGCAUUGGAGAGGGUAGCGGAAUUCACGGUGUAGCAGUGAAAUGCGUAGAUAUCGAGAGGAACACCAGUGGCGAAGGCGAGUCUCUGGACGACUCCUGACACUGAGGCACGAAAGCUAGGGGAGCAAACAGG
rnacentral:rRNA from 1 species